rnacentral:rRNA from 1 species
GGCCGCGGGAAUUCGAUUAGAGUUUGAUCAUGGCUCAGAUUGAACGCUGGGGGCAUGCCUAACACAUGCAAGUCGAACGGAAGCUCAGUACAGAUUUCGGUCUUUAUGGGGUGGCGAGUGGCGUACGGGUGAGUAACACGUAGGAAUCUGACCUGGAGCGGGUGAUAACCCGAGGAAACUCGGGCUAAUACCACAUGAUAUCUAGAGAUAAAAAGCAGGGGACCGAAAGGCCUUGCGGUCUGGGGUGAGCCUACGUCGGAUUAGCUAGUUGGUGGGGUAAAAGCCUACCAAGGCGACGAUCCGUAGCUGGUCUGAGAGGAUGACCAGCCACACUGGGACUGAGACACGGCCCAGACUCCUACGGGAGGCAGCAGUGGGGAAUCUUGGACAAUGGGGGAAACCCUGAUCCAGCGAUGCCGCGUGUGUGAAGAAGGCCUUCGGGUUGUAAAGCACUUUAGGUGGGGAAGAAAGGUAACGAGCGAAUAACUCGUUGCUAUGACGGUACCCGCAGAAUAAGCACCGGCUAACUCUGUGCCAGCAGCCGCGGUAAUACGAAUCACUAGUGAAUUCGCGGCCGCCUGCAGGUCGACCAUAUGGGAGAGCUCC